rnacentral:rRNA from 1 species
UACGGGGGGGGCAAGCGUUGUUCGGAAUUACUGGGCGUAAAGGGCGCGUAGGCGGGUCAGCAAGUCAGGGGUGAAAUCCCACGGCUCAACCGUGGAAGUGCCUUUGAUACUGUUGAUCUCGAGGGAGGUAGGGGCGUGCGGAACUUCCGGUGGAGCGGUGAAAUGCGUAGAUAUCGGAAGGAACACCGGUGGCGAAAGCGGCGCGCUGGACCUCUUCUGACGCUGAGGCGCGAAAGCCAGGGGAGCAAACGGG